UGGGGAAUAUUGGACAAUGGGGGGAACCCUGAUCCAGCCAUGCCGCGUGUGUGAAGAAGGCCUUAUGGUUGUAAAGCACUUUAAGCGAGGAGGAGGGUACUGGUAUUAAUACUACCAGGUACUGGACGUUACUCGCAGAAUAAGCACCGGCUAACUCUGUGCCAGCAGCCGCGGUAAUACAGAGGGUGCGAGCGUUAAUCGGAUUUACUGGGCGUAAAGCGUGCGUAGGCGGCUAAUUGAGUCGGAUGUGAAAUCCCCGAGCUUAACUUGGGAAUUGCAUUCGAUACUGGUUAGCUAGAGUGUGGGAGAGGAUGGUAGAAUUCCAGGUGUAGCUGUGAAAUGCGUAGAGGUCUAGAGGAAUACCGAUGGCGAAGGCAGCCAUCUGGCCUAACACUGACGCUGAGGUACGAAAGCAUGGGGAGCAAACAGG
rnacentral:rRNA from 1 species